rnacentral:rRNA from 1 species
CUACGUGCCAGCAGCCGCGGUAAUACGUAUGUCACGAGCGUUAUCCGGAUUUAUUGGGCGUAAAGCGCGUCUAGGUGGUUAUGUAAGUCUGAUGUGAAAAUGCAGGGCUCAACUCUGUAUUGCGUUGGAAACUGUAUAACUAGAGUACUGGAGAGGUAAGCGGAACUACAAGUGUAGAGGUGAAAUUCGUAGAUAUUUGUAGGAAUGCCGAUGGGGAAGCCAGCUUACUGGACAGAUACUGACGCUGAAGCGCGAAAGCGUGGGUAGCAAACAGGAUUAGAUACCCUGGUAGUCCACGCCGUAAACGAUGAUUACUAGGUGUUGGGGGUCGAACCUCAGCGCCCAAGCAAACGCGAUAAGUAAUCCGCCUGGGGAGUACGUACGCAAGUAUGAAACUCAAAGGAAUUGACGGGGACCCGCACAAGCGGUGGAGCAUGUGGUUUAAUUCGACGCAACGCGAGGAACCUUACCAGCGUUUGACAUC